AGUGAACGCUGGCGGCAGGCCUAACACAUGCAAGUCGAACGGCAGCACAAGAGAGCUUGCUCUCUGGGUGGCGAGUGGCGGACGGGUGAGGAAUGCAUCGGAAUCUGCCCAUUUGUGGGGGAUAACCUCGGGAAACCGGGACUAAUACCGCAUACGACCUACGGGUGAAAGCAGGGGAUCUUCGGACCUUGCGCAGAUGGAUGAGCCGAUGCCGGAUUAGCUAGUUGGAGGGGUAAAGGCCCACCAAGGCGACGAUCCGUAGCUGGUCUGAGAGGAUGAUCAGCCACACUGGGACUGAGACACGGCCCAGACUCCUAUGGGAGGCAGCAGUGGGGAAUAUUGGACAAUGGGCGCAAGCCUGAUCCAGCCAUGCCGCGUGUGUGAAGAAGGCCUUCGGGUUGUAAAGCACUUUUGUUGGGAAAGAAAAGCAGCCGGUUAAUACCCGGUUGUCAUGACGGUACCCAAAGAAUAAGCACCGGCUAACUUCGUG
rnacentral:rRNA from 1 species